UGAUAAUCAAUUUGCCGUUUGUAAUGCAAAAUGACUGAAAAACGGCAAACUUCGCAAGGCUAUAUUAUCCGCAUUUUACAACAUUUCGCAAGGAAACUUCAGAAUAUUACUAAUUUUGUGAUGCUCUUUCAAGCUGCGGUGAAAUUUUUGUCCAGGCCAGUCUAGAUCAAAAUUUCACUUAAAAGGGGAAAGGUCUAUUCUGAAAAAGUUACAAUUCUAAUCUUGUGUGUAUAUCUAUGAAAUGCCUAUUAAUUUUGCAAAGAAUACCAAUACUCCAAUGUCCAAUACCAAUAAUAUAUUUUCUUGCAUAUAUGAACCCCCAAGGGUAUUUUCAUGAUUAGCAAUUAUUCUUGCUUCGUGAUUUAAAGAAAUAGGGGUGGGGGGAGGUAGGGGGGGGGGGGGGGGGGUCGAUGGUUUUUUCCGAAAACAAAACGUCCCAAAACCUUUUCCAAACACUAGUUUCAGAUAAUGGGGGCUUAAAAAUACUUUUUCAGACCUUUUUCGACCUCAAAUGUUUCAGAAAAUUCCUUAAUAUUUAACACGGUUCACUUCAUAUACCUAAAUAGUUCCGGCCCUGUUUAUAGGUUUGGUAUUCACGGACAACGAGGCUAGUGGAAACUAAAUGUGGUUUCUUUUGUAGAACAAUUUCAAUUUGAUAGAACAAUUUCAACAAAACAAAAUUAGUUUUGUCCACGUUUAGUGAUAAGUUAUUAGCACAGAGCCAUGUAUGUACUGAGUACUUUAACUAAUUCCUCAUUCAUUAUAGCUUCAAGUGUCAAUAUAUUUUUGUUUGAGACGAAUAAAUUUGAAUCAUCAGCAAAUAAAUGAAAAUCAAGAGUUUGUGAUGAUCUGUUGAAAUCAUUUAUAUGAAGAAGAAAAAGAGGUCCAAGAACUGAGCCUUGAGGAACUCCACAUUCAAUUUUAUGAUUCAUUGAAUUCGCACUGACCACUGUUUAUUGAAACAAACUGCUUUCUAUUAUUUGGGUAUGAAGUGAACCGCAUUCUUUGCCCAUUCCACGUAUCCUAUAGUGUUCACGUUUGUGAAGAAGAACACGUGGUUAACCGUGUUAAACGCUUUACCAAGAUCCAAAAACAGGCCACAAGAAAGUAAUAUACUUUCAAUAGCUCGUUGCACUUUGUCAACAAUCAUCAAGGUCAAGGUGCAUGCUUGUGUUGUGUAACGAUUACUAGUAGCCCGGAAACCAAAUUGAUUUCCAUUAAGAAUUUUAUGUUUAUCUAUGAAUUUUAUCAGUCUUUUAUACAUUAAUAUUUCAAGAAUUUUGUUUAAAAUAGGCAAUAGAGAGAUAGGACGAUAAUUAGAAACCAAACCCCGAUCACCAUUUCCACAUACAGGGAUUACACUAUCACUAAUUAAAAAAUUUCAAUACUAAACUUUUCCAAAAUUGAUGAAAUUUUACCAAAAGGAAAAUAGUUUACCAAAUCUAGUUACACUGCAGCAGGGUUUAAUGGAUAACAUUAUCAAUGAUAACCCAUCUGCGUACGUAAAAUCACUGAUCAAACCGGGUGUUCAAAACUUCCUGAUUAACUUGGUCUGCACGGCCAUAUAAAAACUGAGCAGCCUUAUGAAAAGCAACCAUUUUAAUUAUUUGAAACUUUAUUAGAAAACACUAUAUUUUUUACAGAUAUAGGUUGAUAAGCUACCGUGUAUAAAGAAUAAUAAAUAAUAAAAUAACUGCAGCUUAAACCCGUAAAUCACGCAGUGAAAUUUCUGUCGACGGCGGGGCAAUCGAGAUCAUAGCGAACACCAACUGGGAACGAGGUUGAGCGAACACAUUUGCCCUUGGCUCGCAUGUGAGCCCGAUGUCAGAAGGCCCUGGGAACGAGGUUGGAGACCAAGGGUUAUGCAUUUACUCGUUUAAGCGCUGCCCUCAACUAAGCGCCGCACAUGAGACAGUAUUGCACAAGUAACCUUGCCGACAAUUCUUGUUAUCGUAUACAAAUUAGCCCGCUCUCUUUACCCCGCCCUCGCCCCCCCCCCCUAGCUGCCCCCACCCUCGUGCCCGAAACAUCGAAAUUUUCCUUAUAUUUUUCAGGUAGUUGCAUCCCUACCAACGAAAGCUUGUUUAUUAUUAUUGGCACUACCUACACUGGUAUAGCCUGCGAACAGCCUGUUCGCAGGCUAACACUGGUAUAUACUAAAUAACAUAUUUUACGGAGCGCCGCCCUCAUCAGCGCCGCAUCUGAAUACUAAAAAUUUAAAUUAAAGAGCGCUUAAUUAAAGGAUAUGGCAAUAAAAAUUACUUUGUCUUAUUUGAAAGAACUUUUAAAGUUAUAUACAGGGUGUAUAAAAAGGAACUGAACAGAUUUGAAAUUGCUCUCAAUUUCGCAAAACACCUAUUUGUAUCCGGUUUUUUAUCUAUAUAGCUUCUUUGGGUAAUGUAGGGUAAUUUGGGUAAUUUUUGGAUAAUGUAGAAUAAUGAAAAAAAUUUCUCGAACUCAAAUUUUGUGAACCAGGGGGGUGUGUCUUUCCAACAAAUUAAAAAUGGCUCGCGCACAAAAUUUAAAAGUUGUAAUCAUAUUUUGAGUUCACAGAUAGAAACUUUGUCGGGUUUUUAAUUACUGUACAAAAUUUCAGACGAUUUAGUUUAGUUUAAGCCCUUUAACUAUUCACGCAGUUACAUUUUUGCUAAAAAUCAGCUAUUUGCAUGCUUAAUUAAUUAAUGCUUUUGCCUAAUUUGCAUAUGUCAGCAAUAUGCAAAUUAGGUAAAGGCAUUAAUUAAGCAUGCAAAAGGCUGAUUUUUUAGAAUAAAAUAAAU